GUGGGGAAUCUUGCGCAAUGGGCGAAAGCCUGACGCAGCCAUGCCGCGUGAAUGAUGAAGGUCUUAGGAUUGUAAAAUUCUUUCACCGGGGACGAUAAUGACGGUACCCGGAGAAGAAGCCCCGGCUAACUUCGUGCCAGCAGCCGCGGUAAUACGAAGGGGGCUAGCGUUGCUCGGAAUUACUGGGCGUAAAGGGCGCGUAGGCGGACAGUUUAGUCAGAGGUGAAAGCCCAGGGCUCAACCUUGGAAUUGCCUUUGAUACUGGCUGUCUUGAGUACGGGAGAGGUGAGUGGAACUCCGAGUGUAGAGGUGAAAUUCGUAGAUAUUCGGAAGAACGCCAGUGGCGAAGGCGACUCACUGGCCCGUUACUGACGCUGAGGCGCGAAAGCGUGGGGAGCAAACAGGAUUAGAUACCCCUGUAGUCC
rnacentral:rRNA from 1 species